rnacentral:rRNA from 1 species
UACGGAGGGUGCGAGCGUUGUCCGGAAUCACUGGGCGUAAAGGGCGCGUAGGCGGCGCGGAUAGUCGGCGGUGAAAGCCCGGAGCUCAACUCCGGGUCGGCCGUCGAUACUUCCGGGCUUGAGCACUGUAGAGGCAGAUGGAAUUCCGGGUGUAGCGGUGGAAUGCGUAGAGAUCCGGAAGAACACCGGUGGCGAAGGCGGUCUGCUGGGCGAGUUGCUG